rnacentral:tRNA from 1 species
AUGGGGCAGUGUAAGAGGCACAUAAGUUUUUGGUACUUAAGGAAAACGUAGUUUCUCCGU